rnacentral:rRNA from 1 species
AGCUACUAAGAGCGAAUGGUGGAUGCCUUGACUGGUAAAGGCGAUGAAGGACGUACUAGACUGCGAUAAGCUACGGGGAGCUGUCAAGAAGCUUUGAUCCGUAGAUUUCCGAAUGGGGCAACCCAAUGUAUAGAGAUAUACAUUACCUAUAUAGGAGCGAACGAGGGGAAUUGAAACAUCUUAGUACCCUCAGGAAAAGAAAUCAAUAGAGAUUGCGUCAGUAGCGGCGAGCGAAAGCGCAAGAGGGCAAACCCAGUGCUUGCACUGGGGGUUGUAGGACUGCAAUGUGCAAGAGGUGAGUUUAGCAGAACAUUCUGGAAAGUAUAGCCAUAGAGGGUGAUAGUCCCGUAUGCGAAAAACAAACCUUAGCUAGCAGUAUCCUGAGUAGGGCGGGACACGAGAAAUCCUGUCUGAAGCUGGGUCGACCACGAUCCAACCCUAAAUACUAAUACCAGAUCGAUAGUGCACAAGUACCGUGAGGGAAAGGUGAAAAGAACUGAGGUGAUCAGAGUGAAAUAGAACCUGAAACCAUUUGCUUACAAUCAUUCAGAGCACUAUGUAGCAAUACAGUGUGAUGGACUGCCUUUUGCAUAAUGAGCCUGCGAGUUGUGGUGUCUGGCAAGGUUAAGCAAACGCGAAGCCGUAGCGAAAGCGAGUCUGAAUAGGGCGCUUAGUCAGAUGCUGCAGACCCGAAACGAAGUGAUCUAUCCAUGAGCAAGUUGAAGCUAGUGUAAGAACUAGUGGAGGACUGAACCCAUAGGCGUUGAAAAGCCCCGGGAUGACUUGUGGAUAGGGGUGAAAGGCCAAUCAAACUUCGUGAUAGCUGGUUCUCUCCGAAAUAUAUUUAGGUAUAGCGUUGUGUCGUAAUAUAAGGGGGUAGAGCACUGAAUGGGCUAGGGCAUACACCAAUGUACCAAACCCUAUCAAACUCCGAAUACCUUAUAUGUAAUCACAGCAGUCAGGCGGCGAGUGAUAAAAUCCGUCGUCAAGAGGGAAACAACCCAGACUACCAGCUAAGGUCCCUAAAUCUUACUUAAGUGGAAAACGAUGUGAAGUUACUUAAACAACCAGGAGGUUGGCUUAGAAGCAGCCAUCCUUUAAAGAAAGCGUAAUAGCUCACUGGUCUAGUGAUUUUGCGCGGAAAAUAUAACGGGGCUAAAGUAAGUACCGAAGCUGUAGACUUGCGCACAACUUAGAUUAUUUAAGUUUAGAAUAUGAGAAACUAAGUUAUAUGUUUAGUUAUAUUUUUACUGAUUUUUAUAGAGUAAAGAUAGAAAUAAAACUUAGUAAAAUCAGUAAAAAUAUUCUUAGACUAAAGUUAAGUAGUUUAAGUUGUGUGCAAGUGGUAGGAGAGCGUUCUAUUUGCGCCGAAGGUAUACCGGUAAGGAGUGCUGGAGCGAAUAGAAGUGAGCAUGCAGGCAUGAGUAGCGAUAAUUAAUGUGAGAAUCAUUAACGCCGUAAACCCAAGGUUUCCUACGCGAUGCUCGUCAUCGUAGGGUUAGUCGGGUCCUAAGUCGAGUCCGAAAGGGGUAGACGAUGGCAAAUUGGUUAAUAUUCCAAUACCAACAUUAGUGUGCGAUGGAAGGACGCUUAGGGCUAAGGGGGCUAGCGGAUGGAAGUGCUAGUCUAAGGUCGUAGGAGGUUAUACAGGCAAAUCCGUAUAACAAUACUCCGAGAACUGAAAGGCUUUUUGAAGUCUUCGGAUGGAUAGAAGAACCCCUGAUGCCGUCGAGCCAAGAAAAGUUUCUAAGUUUAGCUAAUGUUGCCCGUACCGUAAACCGACACAGGUGGGUGGGAUGAGUAUUCUAAGGCGCGUGGAAGAACUCUCUUUAAGGAACUCUGCAAAAUAGCACCGUAUCUUCGGUAUAAGGUGUGGUUCGCUUCGUAUUAGGAUUUACUCCGAAAGCGAAGAAACUUACAACAAAGAGUCCCUCCCGACUGUUUACCAAAAACACAGCACUCUGCUAACUCGUAAGAGGAUGUAUAGGGUGUGACGCCUGCCCGGUGCUCGAAGGUUAAUUGAUGGGGUUAGCAUUAGCGAAGCUCUUGAUCGAAGCCCGAGUAAACGGCGGCCGUAACUAUAACGGUCCUAAGGUAGCGAAAUUCCUUGUCGGUUAAAUACCGACCUGCAUGAAUGGCGUAACGAGAUGGGAGCUGUCUCAAAGAGGGAUCCAGUGAAAUUGUAGUGGAGGUGAAAAUUCCUCCUACCCGCGGCAAGACGGAAAGACCCCGUGGACCUUUACUACAGCUUGACACUGCUAUUUGGAUAAGAAUGUGCAGGAUAGGUGGGAGGCUUUGAGUAUAUGACGCCAGUUGUAUAUGAGCCAUUGUUGAGAUACCACUCUUUCUUAUUUGGGUAGCUAACCAGCUUGAGUUAUCCUCAAGUGGGACAAUGUCUGGUGGGUAGUUUGACUGGGGCGGUCGCCUCCCAAAUAAUAACGGAGGCUUACAAAGGUUGGCUCAGAACGGUUGGAAAUCGUUCGUAGAGUAUAAAGGUAUAAGCCAGCUUAACUGCAAGACAUACAAGUCAAGCAGAGACGAAAGUCGGUCUUAGUGAUCCGGUGGUUCUGUGUGGAAGGGCCAUCGCUCAAAGGAUAAAAGGUACCCCGGGGAUAACAGGCUGAUCUCCCCCAAGAGCUCACAUCGACGGGGAGGUUUGGCACCUCGAUGUCGGCUCAUCGCAUCCUGGGGCUGGAGCAGGUCCCAAGGGUAUGGCUGUUCGCCAUUUAAAGCGGUACGCGAGCUGGGUUCAGAACGUCGUGAGACAGUUCGGUCCCUAUCUGCCGUGGGCGUAAGAAGAUUGAAGAGAUUUGACCCUAGUACGAGAGGACCGGGUUGAACAAACCACUGGUGUAGC